UACGAGAGGCCCGAGCGUUAAUCGGAAUCACUGGGCUUAAAGCGUGCGCAGGCGGUCCAGCAAGCGUCUUGUGAAAUCCCCCGGCUCAACCGGGGAAGUGCAGGGCGAACUGCUGGACUUGAGGCAGGUAGGGGCUGAUGGAACCAUGAGUGGAGCGGUGAAAUGCGUAGAUAUUCAUGGGAACGCCGAUGGGGAAGCCGAUCAGCUGGGCCUGUCCUGACGCUCAGGCACGAAAGCGUGGGGAGCAAACAGGAUUAGAUACCCUGGUAGUCCACGCCGUAAACGAUGCACACUAGGUCGGGGCAGCUCUGACGCUGUCUCGGCCGAAGGAAAACUAUUGAGUGUGCCGCCUGGGGAGUACGGUCGCAAGGCUA
rnacentral:rRNA from 1 species